UACGUAGGUGGCAAGCGUUGUCCGGAAUUAUUGGGCGUAAAGCGCGCGCAGGCGGCCUCUUAAGUCUGAUGUGAAAGCCCCCCGGCUCAGCCGGGGAGGGCCAUUGGAAACUGGGAGGCUUGAGUAUAGGAGAGAAGAGUGGAAUUCCACGUGUAGCGGUGAAAUGCGUAGAGAUGCGGAGGAACACCAGUGGCGAAGGCGACUCUUUGGCCUAUAACUGACGCUGAGGCGCGAAAGCGUGGGGAGCAAACAGG
rnacentral:rRNA from 1 species